AAGGUCCCUACUCUCCCAUCUCCCUGAUUCCAAGUGAUUGCCAGAACCCUCUCACUUCUUGAUGCUGUUGGUAAUGAGCAGGUGGGCAUCGUGCCUCUCAUCCAAUAGAAGCAUGGCCCCCAGGUAGCCCACCCUCUUGUCUGUGAAUCUGGAGGAGGCGAUCAGUUUCAGGCACUCCAUCUAUAGUGAAGGGGGCAGACCAGGAAGAGGCAGGGGUGAAACCAUAGACACUCACAUCCCUGUUCCAUCUUCCUCUUUAAAACCAGAUUAACCUGUGGGGCAUCAUAUCUCAUCACUCUCCCUUCAACAAGAGGAGAAGCUUAGGAAAUUCAGGCGUUAGUGGGUAGGAGGAACUAGGAGUUGAG
rnacentral:lncRNA from 1 species